UGGUAGAAGCUCCGUCCCAAGCUUAUUCGCACAGCACGCCGUAUCGCCAACGGGAGCGCGCAGAGAGGAGGGAAGAGUGGGACAACGCAAGCAGUGGACGCUGAUUUAUAGCACCUAUGGGUUCAGACAUCAACAGCCAAUGGGGGAUAGAGGGAGACACGAGAAAAAGGCAGCUUACUCGAACGUUGUUGACGGAGAAGAUGAGGUCAAACCUUGUUAGCUGGCCUGCUGCUGCCUCCAAUCUAGGGAGGGUGUCGGAGGCCGUGGAGUGACGCACGAAGGUGUGUAGCCCAUGGCCAAGUCGACGUGGAUGGUGGUGUCAGACAUCUCCCUAUGGCGUCCUCCAUGAGUGUGAGAUUUCCGGCGGCACCGUGCGGACAGCCCCACACGGAGACCAGGUCCUCGCCAAAGUGGCCCAGGUGUGCGUACAGCGAGAGGCGGCGGGGAUCAUGGCGGCGAGGCACAUCGACCACUCCAUCGGCAAUGAUGCACACAGCACCCUUUUCCACUUAAGUCCACCAGGAAACACCCGAAAGAGGAGGGCGCCGAGGUCCCUACCGCGCCGCCAUCUGGCUCGGGAAGGAGAGGAUGGCCCCGAGCUCUUCCUCCAUAGCGGUUGAAGAGUAGAGCGCCGAGGUUCCCAAUGCGCCGCCAUCUGCCUCGUCAAGGAGAGGAGAGCCCCGAGCUCACCCUCCACAGCGGCUGAAGAGGAGGGCGUCGAGGAGGAGAGGAGAGCCCCAAGCUCUUCCUCCACGGUGGCUGAAGAGGAGGGCGGAGAGGUCCUCAUCGCUCUUCCUCCACGCCGUCAGCCGCCUUGGUAGGUGGCACGGUGGCCAGAGAGGGAGAAGAGGAGGCCGGCCAUAGGGAAGAAUGUGAAGAAGAAAGUUGGGGGCGAAUUGUUCCAUGGUGGAGAUUGAGGGGGCGCCUCUCUGACCAGCUGCCGCUUUGACCGAAUUCUGGAGCGAUCCAUGAAAAUAGGAAGGGGUGAGGCAACAGCCGGUAGCCGGUUGCCUGUCUACCCAAAAAAUAAAGAUGCAAAACAAAUUACGUGAGUAGAUCAGGGAAGGGAUAAAGUAAAUAAGUACGUGUCAAUCAACAAUAGGAGGAAAGAGUGGAUAAAUAGCA